UACGUAGGGGGCAAGCGUUAUCCGGAUUUACUGGGUGUAAAGGGAGCGUAGACGGAAGGUCAAGUCAGGUGUGAAAGGCAUGGGCUCAACCCGUGGACUGCACUUGAAACUGGUCAUCUUGAGUGUCGGAGGGGCAGGCGGAAUUCCUGGUGUAGCGGUGAAAUGCGUAGAUAUCAGGAAGAACACCGGUGGCGAAGGCGGCCUGCUGGACGAUCACUGACGUUGAGGCUCGAAGGCGUGGGGAGCAAACAGG
rnacentral:rRNA from 1 species